UAGCAAAAUCUGGUAUUGCAAAAGACCUAAACUCUUUCUACAGAGGUUCAAAUCCUCUCAUUAACU
rnacentral:tRNA from 1 species